GACGAACGCUGGCGGCGUGCUUAACACAUGCAAGUCGAACGGUGAAGCGCCUUCCUUUUUGGUGGGUGUGGAUGAGUGGCGAACGGGUGAGUAACACGUGAGUAACCUGCCCCCUUCUUCUGGAUAACCGCAUGAAAGUGUGGCUAAUACGGGAUAUUCUGGGUCUGUCGCAUGAUGGGUCUGGGAAAGAUAUUGUUUCGGUGGGCGAUGGGCUCGCGGCCUAUCAGCUUGUUGGUGGGUGAUGGCCUACCAAGGCGGUGACGGGUAGCCGGCCUGAGAGGGUGGACGGUCACACUGGGACUGAGACACGGCCCAGACUCCUACGGGAGGCAGCAGUGGGGAAUAUUGCACAAUGGGCGCAAGCCUGAUGCAGCGACGCCGCGUGAGGGAUGGAGGCCUUCGGGUUGUGAACCUCUUUCGCCAGUGAAGCAGGCCUGCCUCGUUUGUGGGUGGGUUGACGGUAGCUGGAUAAGAAGCGCCGGCUAACUACGUG
rnacentral:rRNA from 1 species